rnacentral:lncRNA from 1 species
GUUGAAUUAGUCUAUAUGCCCAUAAUUUCAUUUGAAAUUCUCCAAAGCUUUUUUCUGUCAUAUUUUAUAUCAUUUAUCUUAGUUUCAUAAUACAGCGUUUCUUCUUCUUUUUGUUCAGUUUAGCCACAUAAUUUCUCGGUUUGCCAAUCAGAUGUGCAGACAGAUUUAUUAGCCACUCCUUUUGCGUCAUCUCUCUCAACCACACAGUUUUUCAGUUCCUCAUCAAUCCACGGCACCUUGGCAGAUCUAACAGUUCGUUUCUUAAUAGGGUUAUGUCUAUCAAUAACUGGAAGGAGAAAUUUCAUAAAUAUUUGUAGAUCUUUAGUUGUUGUGGAGCUUUUGUCCCGAACUCAUUACGGUGUUUUAGGUGCCAAGCUUAUUAUCAUGUCGCAGCUGUGUGUAGGAGGGAAAUUCCUAGAUGUGAGAAGUGUGCAUUAGGGCAUGAGACAAAGAAAUGUGUAGUGUUGGUGGAAAUAAAUGUUGUGUGUUAACUGUAGGGCACCUUAGUGGCACCUAGUGGCACCUGUAGUGGCACCUUCAUUGGGGAGAACAGGCUCGUGGUAAUGGCUGGAGCAGAAUCAGUGGAAUGGUAUCAAAUACAUGGAAACCAUGUGUUUGAUGCCAUUCCAUUUGCUCCGUUCAAAACAUUAUUAUGAGCCGUCCUCACCUCAGCAGUGUCCACUGUUGUAGGCACUGUUGUAGGGGUACCCAUGGUGCUGGAGUUCAGAAGUGUUGGUUAUGAACUAUACCGCAGAAAUGAAACGUGAAUCACAGAAAAUAGAUGUGGUGGCAGCUGCAUAGAAGGACUUGGGUCUAUGGGAUUUUACUGCAUUAGAGUUACAAGGUGUGUUCAACAAUAGUGUUCCGUUCUCCCAGUCUUCCAGCUUGGAGUAGAAUCAGAUAGGACCAAGUAGUGGAAUAGUGGUGAGGUUUUAAUGGGUGUAGGGUUAGUUGGUAUAGUGGUGAAGUUUUAAUGGGUGUAGGGUUAGUUGGUAUAGUGGUGAGGUUUUAAUGGGUGUAGAGUUAGUUGGUAUAGUGGUGAAGUUUUAAUGGGUGUAGGGUUAGUUGGUAUAGUGGUGAGGUUUUAAUGGGUGUAGGGUUAGUUGGUAUAGUGGUGAAGUUUUAAUGGGUGUAGGGUUAGUUGGUAUAGUGGUGAGGUUUUAAUGGGUGUAGGGUUAGUUGGUAUAGUGGUGAGGUUUUAAUGGGUGUAGGGUUAGUUGGUAUAGUGGUGAGGUUUUAAUGGGUGUAGGGUUAGUUGGUAUAGUGGUGAAGUUUUAAUGGGUGUAGGGUUAGUCAGUAGGGACAUUUGUCUUCCCUUUUCCCUUUUUGUGUCACAAAGUGCAAUGAAUUCACACUCCAGAACAGUAGGUGGCGGUGUACGCAUCCCUUCAGUUGGUUGCGAUCCAACAAUACAUAUUUGAAGAAGAAGAAGAAAGUUGUGCUGACAGACUGUUCACAUGCUGUUUCCUAACCCAAGUGUUGGAACUGUUACUGGGAAUAAGAUUGGGUGCCAAAUCAGUGUGGGCUAGUUACUUUACCGUGUAAUGUGACUGUGUAAGAUUGGUUUGUUAGCUACGCUUUUACACAGCUGUUUGCCAGCUUCCUGCUAAUUCCAGCAUUGUUUGUUUGUGUGUGUCCGUGCAUGCUAUCUCGUUUUAGUAUGGUUAUCAUUGCUACAAGUGUGUUCGUUGAGCGCAACAACCCUACUUACUAGUGUGUUAUUAGCAAUGUUUGUAUUACUUGCGUGAUACCGCUGCAAUAUGUAUAGCCCAUAUGUUACUGCUAUAGUAGCUUGAUCCACUAUACAAAUUCUUGAAGAUCCCAGAAUGUUCUAGUCCUUUCUGUGCACUGGCGCAGGCUCUGUAGCCCUGUGAUAAAGAUCUCAGUCAGGCCAUAGAUUGACCCUUAAAGCUCCACGGUCUUAGAUUUCUCUCUCUUUGGCCAUGAAUAUUCUUACUGAUGUCUAGGACAUUUCUUAUUUGAUUUAACUAGGAAAGUCAGUUAAGUACAAAUUUGUAUUUACAAUGACAGCCUACCCUGGCCAAACACUAACCCGGAUGACGCUGG